rnacentral:rRNA from 1 species
UAGGGAAUAUUGGACAAUGGGGGCAACCCUGAUCCAGCCAUGCCGCGUGAGUGAAGAAGGCCCUCGGGUUGUAAAGCUCUUUUGUCCGGAAAGAAAAGCAUUCGGUGAAUACCCGGAUGUUCUGACGGUACCGGAAGAAUAAGCACCGGCUAACUUCGUGCCAGCAGCCGCGGUAAUACGAAGGGUGCAAGCGUUACUCGGAAUUACUGGGCGUAAAGCGUGCGUAGGUGGUUGUUUAAGUCUGAUGUGAAAGCCCUGGGCUCAACCUGGGAAUGGCAUUGGAAACUGGGCAGCUAGAGUGCGGUAGAGGGUAGUAGAAUUCCCGGUGUAGCAGUGAAAUGCGUAGAGAUCGGGAGGAACAUCUGUGGCGAAGGCGACUGCCUGGACCAGCACUGACACUGAGGCACGAAAGCGUGGGGAGCAAAC